GCCAGCGCCGAUAGCACGCUGAAUGCACCAGUUACCAUUUUUUCACUGAAGUUAAGCAACGUUGCGCGUGGUUCGUAACCGGAUGGGGACAAUCAGGGCGAUCGCCUGCUACUGGCU
rnacentral:rRNA from 1 species